rnacentral:rRNA from 1 species
AGUGAACGCUGGCGGUAGGCCUAACACAUGCAAGUCGAACGGCAGCACAGUAAGAGCUUGCUCUUACGGGUGGCGAGUGGCGGACGGGUGAGGAAUACAUCGGAAUCUACUUUUUCGUGGGGGAUAACGUAGGGAAACUUACGCUAAUACCGCAUACGACCUACGGGUGAAAGCAGGGGAUCUUCGGACCUUGCGCGAUUGAAUGAGCCGAUGUCGGAUUAGCUAGUUGGCGGGGUAAAGGCCCACCAAGGCGACGAUCCGUAGCUGGUCUGAGAGGAUGAUCAGACACACUGGAACUGAGACACGGUCCAGACUCCUACGGGAGGCAGCAGUGGGGAAUAUUGGACAAUGGGCGCAAGCCUGAUCCAGCCAUACCGCGUGGGUGAAGAAGGCCUUCGGGUUGUAAAGCCCUUUUGUUGGGAAAGAAAAGCAGCAGGUUAAUACCCCGCUGUUCUGACGGUACCAAAAGAAUAAGCACCGGCUAACUUCGUG